UAAACGUGAACUCUUCCAGGUAAUGUAUGGCAGAGCAGCUCAUGCAAGUUGGUUGACUGUUGAUACUUGAGUGGAUUUCUGCUUUUUAUUUUAUAUUAUGCUUUACAAAGUCUCUCAACAGUGCGCUUUUGUUACCUGUCCCCAAUUUUUAUAAUCAUCUCUUCCUUCAACCUUUUUUAUGUUUUUUCUUCCUCUUUUUCUCCAUCUGUCUCUCUUGCCAUCCUUUGAUUUGCUAACAAUUUUCUACUUGCCCAGAUAUUGU
rnacentral:misc_RNA from 1 species